rnacentral:lncRNA from 1 species
CUCAGAUCCUAGCUCCCUGACCAAGACUGCCUCAGGGUCAUCAACAAGUUGUUCUCAAGUCAUCCAGAUCUGCAGAAAGACCUGCUGUCUGAUGCUGAUUUCUUCCUGUUCACAGAUGGGAGUAGCUUCAUGAAAAAUCAGGUAUCAAGGUAGCUGAAGUCCAUCCGUGGAUUCAUUACUCUAGAGUGAAACAGGCCUAUCCAGAAAAUUCCACGGACUUCUUUCUACUCCAGGAGUCAGCGCACUCAAAGCCCUGCUCUCACCACACCAGAAGCUGGAAAAACUGAAGAGAAUACACUUACACUUGAAAUUGAUGAGCCAAUUCUGGAGAGUUUCAUCAGAACAGCAUUUGGAGGUGUAUUUGUGAUAUCACAAGUUCCACCUCUUCCCUUCACUGAACUGUACCCACCAAAUCAAAUCAGAGACCUUGAUGCCACGUUUCAUGGGAAUAAAAUCCAUCUAACAUGGACAGCACCAGGAGAUGAUUUUGAUGUUGGAAAAGUUCAAUGGUAUACCAUAAGAGUCAGUGGAAGUAUUCCUGAUCUAAGAGAUAAUUUUGAAGAUGCUCUUCAAGUUAACACUACUGAUCUGUUACCAAAUGAGGCCAACUCCAAGCAAACCUUUAUGUUUAAGCCAGGAACUAUCUCAGAAGAAAAUCCAACCCAUUUGUUCAUUGCCAUUCAAGGUAUAGACAAGAGCAAUCUGACAUCAAAAGUAUCCAAUAUUGCACAAGUAGUUUUGUUUGUUCCCCUGGGAGAUCCUAGUCCCCCGUGAAACUUAACAUCCUGGAACUAGCAUCCCUACUUUGGUGCUGUUGGUGGCUGGCUUUGUUGCAACUGUUUGCAUUAUUUUAUGUGCCAUAAUUUAUAUUUUAAAGAAAAAAUGCAAGUAGACCCACAACUGGGUUUUACUACAAUAAAAAAAAAAGAAGGAU